GUUGGUUGUUAGACCAGUUAGAGUCGGUUACUUGACUUUGACUUUUCAGAGCCUGUUUGAGCUCGACAGAGAUACGCUGCAUACUCGGUUGGGUAGCGCCCACGAGUGCCACUCCGGAGACGGGCUUUGUGCUUUUGCGUUGGUGUCGCUCAUGCUGGUUGGACUUGCUCUCCACGGACCAGUUAGUGUGGAGGUAGCUGGAUAGUCGUAACUGGGCAGGGACGGGUGUAUUCACAGUCCCCGGGACGGGUAUGUUUACAGUCCCGAUUGGAUUGGGUCAGUUUUGACAUUUCCUACAGUUGGUUAGCUUAGAGCAGGAUGGUGUAGUGACUAGUAGCUGUAGAGUUCAUUCCAGCAUUUUUACUUUUACCAUUGCUCCUUUCUGUAGACUUAAUGGGUGGACCGAUGUUGUUUUGGGCGGCACCCACUGAGGACUACUUGUUUUUACAGUAGUUCUCACGCCCUGUUGUUACCCCUGUUUUGCAGAGCCACAGGUUUCGGCUGCUGCGCCUUCCGCGGAUCAGGAUCGAGGCAAGGGCGUCGCGAGUUAGAGCCCUACCCGCCGAGCAGAGCUAGAGGCACCCUACUGCUGGUAGUUGUUUUAUUUCGAGCUUAUGUACAUGGUACUUAACUCGCCAGUACGAGUAACUCUGUAUUUUGAUUUUUGAACUAUGUAUAUGAAGCUCAGUUUGUUUAGCUCUUGCUAUUCUAGUAGCUCUCUACUACUGUUCGUAGUAGUGUAUGAUUUAUAGGUACAACAAUCGCUUCGUAUAUAGAGGAAACUCCUUUGUAUACGGCGGGUUUGUCGGCGUGCCCGGGGAACGAGACAUCCGUGGCGUGACAGAUUAAGUUGGUAUCAGAGCUUAGUAUUAGGUCGUUGGGACCUAGAAAACCUAAGUUUGGCAAAUCUUAGGAAAGUAAGACGCGAGAGGCGUAAUUUAAUUCCGAAAAUCAAUGAUUAGUUGUUCUAACUCCUCCAAGAGUGGGGUGAGUGACUGAAGGAGUUCCUGUUUUGGCCUGAGAAAUUAUGUUGGCUGCAGACGUCAUAAUUUUGGAGAAAAACAGGGACCGCCUUCAAGACUUUCGUUGAUUGGGUCGAGAGUGUUUGUGUUUUAUCUGACCUUGAUUUGUUUCUUGCAGCUAUCUAUCGUCGCCGAGGUCGACCGUCGUUACGGGAGCGUGCCCAGUUGACGCAGGAUCAUGCUAGAUCUUCCGAGAUGCCUGAGCAGGCAGAGCCGACUGCAUCACUAGAGGUGCGGGCACCCCUAGUUGUUGAGCAGAGAGCCCGACCCGAGGCGAGUGCGUCCCCGGAGUUGAGUGCACAGUUAGUCGCGCUGACAGAGGUGACGAGGCGGCAGGGGGAGUUGUUGGAGAGGCUGUGCGAGAGGAUAGCUCCGUCACCGAGUACAGUACCGAGAGCACCAGAGCAGGCCAUUCCGCCUCCGACUACUCCAGCAUCAGCACCAGCCGCAGCUAUGCCCCCACCAGUGGAGCUUCCUGCAGCGCAAGUUGCGCCUGCUAGGGGGCUGGUACAGUUGACAGAGGCCGAGCAGGAGCGGUGGACAGAGAGGUUGGCUCGUUUCCGCCUUUUCACUGAGGCCUGCGUUGUUGAUGGCAGUUGCACUGAGGCCUGCGUUGUUGAGGGAUGGAUCAGUGCGAUGGAGAAGUUAUUUGAGGAUCUGUUCAUUCUUGAGGCGGAGCAGGUGUCUUUGGGAGUCCAUUGCUUGGCAGGUGAUGCCCACGUCUGGUGGAGGAGAGUGAGGAGAGAGCAGGGACUGGUGGCACUGCAGCUGAGAUGGGAUGAGUUCUGUGGAAUGCUGUUUGGGAUGUUCUUUCCCAACAGUGUGAAGCAGAAGCUUGAGGAGGAUUUGAGGAGGCUUCGGCAGGGAGAUCGUCCAGUGCAGGAGUACAUUCGGGAGUUUACUCGACUCCUGAACUGUGUGCCAUUUGUGGCUAGAGACGAGGCACACAGAGUGUACAUGUUUGAGCAGGGGCUGAGACCAGACAUUUUCAGGAUGGUGCGGGCGCAGAGGUCGAGGACCUUGGAUGCGUUCAUAGAGCAGGCUUUGUGGGUAGAGAGAGGUGAGGUGUCGCUUCAGGAGAGGACUCAGGCCGUGGGGCAGGGUCAGGACAGGAAGCGCCCAUUUCCAGAUGACGGAGGACAGUCGAGCAGCAGACGUCCGCCGAGGCCUCCACGAUCACGCUCUCAGGGUCGUGGGCCUUCGGGACGUCAGCGUACCAGGGGAUCCCGUCAGCAGGGACAGACCCAGAGGACACCGCAGUGUGUGAUCUGCGGGGGACCACACUGGCCCCGGCAGUGCGAACAGAGAGAGGGCAGGUGUUAUGUUUGUGGUCAGCCUGGACACAUGAGGGCAGCUUGUCCCCGAGCAGCAUCUCCAGCACCAUCAUUAGCUUCAGCACCACAAGCACCUUAGCAGUCUUACGGAGCAGCGCCGAGUUACCGCCAGGAGGAUAGAUCGUCUGUGCCGCAGUCGAGUGAGCGGCGACAGCAGGCCCCGAGUGGCAGAGUUUAUGCAGCUCAGGUGGAGGACUCUACGGCAGCCGACCGAGUGGUGGCAGGUAUUACUUUGAUUUCUGGCAUUAGAGUUCGCACUCUUUUUGAUACCGGUGCAUCGCAUUCGUUUGUUAGCCGAGCAUUUGCACAGUUACACGGUCUAGAGUUAGGAGCGUUGUCUCAGGCACGAGAGGUACAGAUCCCAGACUAUGUGUUAUAGGUUGCAGAGUGUUGUUGGUCGUGUCCGGUGCAGUUUGAUUCUUGGAUCAUGCCCGCAGACCUGUUGGUGUUAGGGCAGCUGCAGGACUUCGACGUUGUGCUCGGUAUGGAUUGGCUGGCGCGGUACUAUGCUAUGAUAGACUGUGGAGUGAGGACUGUGACGUUUCGCGAGUCAGGCCAGGAGGAGUUUACUUUCAGAGGCUGUAGGAGCACACUGUUUGCCACCUGGAUAUCUUCGGCGAGGGCUCGACAAAUGCUGAGUAGUGGGUGUAUCGCUUUCCUAGUGACAGUUGUGGAGGUACCUACGGCGGCGCCGGGACUCGAGGAUAUCCUAGUAGUCCGCGAGUUUCCGGAUGUGUUUUCCCCUGAGUUGACGACGUUGCCGCCGGAGAGGGAGAUUGAGUUUGUGAUUAAUGUAGUUCCUGAAACUGCACCAAUCUCAAAGGUACCUUAUCGGAUGGCGCCGGCAGAGCUGAGGGAGCUAAAGGCGCAGCUGCAGGAUUUGAUGGAUAGAGGGUUUAUGAGACCCAGUGUUUCGCCUUGGGGAGCGCCAGUGUUGUUUGUGAAGAAGAAUGAUGGUUCACUUAGGCUGUGUGUGGAUUACCGGGAGCUGAAUAAAGUGACCAUCACGAAUAAGUAUCCCUUGCCUCGUAUUGAUGAUUUGUUUGAUUAGCUGCAGGGAUCUUAUGUCUUUUCGAAGAUUGAUCUCCAGUCAGGUUACCACCAGUUGAGGGUGAGGGCAGAGGAUGUUCCCAAGACGACUUUUCGGACUCGGUACGUGCAUUAUGAGUUCACAGUGAUGCCUUUUGGAUUGACGAAUGUCCUUACCGCAUUCAUGGAUUUGAUGAACAGAGUGUUCAAGCCGUUCUUGGAUAGAUUUGUGGUAGUCUUCAUCGACGAUAUCCUGAUUUACUCCCGGAGUGAUGUUGAGCAUGAGGAGCACUUGAGGACUAUGCUACAGCUUCUGCAAGAGAAGAAGUUGUAUGCCAAGUUGAAGAAGUGCGAGUUCUGGUUACAGGAGGUCGCUUUCUUGGGCCACGUGAUAUCGGCAGAGGGAGUAGCAGUCGACCCGAAGAAGAUUGAUGCGAUUCGGGAAUGGCCCAGACCGACGACGGUGACAGAGGUGCAGAGUUUCUUUGGACUAGCAGGAUAUUACCGUCGGUUUGUGGAAGACUUUGCGAAGCUUUCCACACCCCUCACACGCUUGACGCGGAAGGGGAUUCGUUUUGUCUGGAGCAACGACUGUCAGAGGAGCUUUGAUGAGUUGAGAUUGAGGUUGACGUCAGCUCCUAUUCUUGCCCUUCCUGUUAUGGGCGAAGGAUUCGUGAUCUACAAUGAUGCAUCGCACAAUGGACUUGGUUGCGUGUUGAUCCAGCAUGGUAGGGUAAUUGCUUAUACUUCACGGCAGUUAAAGGAUUAUGAGAAGAAUUACCCUACGCAUGACUUAGAGCUUGCCGCGGUGGUUUUUGCUUUGAAGCUUUGGCCGCACUACUUGUACGGCGAGCACUACGAGGUUUUCACCGAUCAUAAAAGUCUCAAGUAUCUGUUCACACAGAGGGAGCUGAACCUGAGGCAGCGCCGGUGGUUGGAGUUACUGAAGGACUAUGACAUUAGUAUUCAGUAUCAUCCCGGCAGGGUGAAUGUGGUGGCAGAUGCGUUGAGCAAGAAAGCAGUGCAGAGCCUGAGUUUGACGAUCACUGAGCAGAGACCCCUACUCGAGGAGCUGUAGCGGCUGGGACUAGAGAUAAUACCCCCUGGUUCUACGGCGAGGCUGACAUCUCUAGUUUUGCAGCCCACUCUGUUGGAUAUGAUCCGAGAGAAAAAGAGUGGAGAUCCGUACUUGUUGAGGAUUAGAGAGCAGCUAGACAGGGGGCAGGCUGAGGGUUUUGCUUUAGACAGUUCGGGAGUAUUACGGUACAGGGACCGACUGUGUGUGCUUGUGGAUUCAGAGAUCCGAGCAGACAUUCUGAGAGAGGCUCAUUGUUCUCCUUAUACGGUUCACCCUGGAGGAACCAAAAUGUGUAAGGAUUUAAAGGCACAGUUCUCGUGGCCUGGAAUGAAGAGAGACAUUGGCAGAUAUGUGGCUCAAUGUUUGACUUGUCAACAGGUAAAAGCUGAGCAUCAAGUGCCUGCUUGCAAGCUUCAGAGUCUGCCAGUGCCAGAGUGGAAGUGGGAGUACAUCACGAUGGACUUCGUCGUUGGAUUGCCUAGAGCACAGGGUGGCUAUGAUGCUAUUUGGGUUAUAGUGGACAGACUGACCAAGUCUGCUCACUUCCUACCGGUUCAGACUACUUGGUCCAGAGAGAGACUCGCGCAGCUAUACUUGGAUGAGAUCGUCAGGCUGCACGGCAUGCCAGUAUCGAUCGUAUCAGACCGAUACCAGAGGUUUGUGUCGCAUUUUUGGAGGAGUUUACAGACAGCUUUGGGGACUCAGUUACAUUUCAGCACUGCUUUUCUCCAACAGACAGAUGAUUAGUCAGAGCGGACCAUUUAGACUCUAGAGGACAUGCUGAAGGCAUGCGUCCUGAACUUUGGAGGAGGGUGGCAUCGACAUUUGAGACUAGCAGAGUUUGCGUACAACAACAGCUAUCAAACGAGCAUUCAGAUGGCUCCGUUUGAAGCAUUGUAUGGACGCAAGUGUCGAUCCCCGUUGUUUUGAAGCGAUGUGGGUGAGAGGAGGACACUUGGGCCUGAGUUGUUGCUAGAGGCUGAGGAGAAGGUGAGAGUUGUUCGACGACACCUUCUGACAGCCCAGAGCCGACAGAGGAGCUACGCCGAUACCAGGAGACGAGACUUGGAGUUCCAGGUUGGAGAUCAUGUGUUCCUUAAAGUCUCGCCGUCCAGAGGGAUACACCGAUUUGGAGUACGUAGAAAGCUCAGUCCACAUUUUGUUGGCCCAUUCGAGGUAUUGGAGCGAGUCGGACCGGUGGCAUACAGGAUAGCUCUACCCCUGCGACUUGCGGGCAUCCACGAUGUUUUCCACGUCUCAGCUUUGAGGAGAUAUGUUUUCGAUCCUUCUCACAUGAUUGACUUCACUCCACUCGAGAUUGGCGAGAAUCUGAGAUAUGAGGAGCGACCGUUGCGGAUUCUUGCUCGGGAGACGAAAGAAUUGCGCAACCGGGUCAUUCUGUAUGUGAAAGUGCAGUGGAGCAAUCACGAGGAGCGGGAGGCGACUUGGGAGCCUGAGACGGUGAUGAGGGAGGCCUAUCCCUAUUUGUUUGAUGCCUAAGCAUAGGUACGUUUCAGUUUCGCGGACGAAACUUUUUGUAGAGGGGGAGGAUGUGAGAUCCCUGGUGUACAGCUGUGGAGGCUUGUCAGCAGCUCUGGAGAGUGUCGGGACAAGUCCGAGUCGCGUUGGCGUCAAAUAGACGCAAAACGGACUCCGUGCGACGCGAGGGCAGCUUAUAGCGAAGAAAUCUACAAAACAGCAGAUUUCUCUGCUUGCUGUACCGGUACAACUAGCGUGGCUGUAUCGGUACAACCAGCUGCUCUCGGGUUGGCCCUUGUACCGGUAAAGUAGCCCGUGUACAGGUACAAGAGGGUAGGUAUUUAUCCCUCGUUUGUAUCACCGACUCUCCCUCUCUCUAUAUAGGAUGGUGUUGAGCUGAGAGAGAGAGACUUCUUGCUUCUUCUCUUCUCUCUCUAGGCUCGUUUGAGGAAAAAGCUCGGUUGGAAGGUUUGUCGCCGACGUCGCGCCGCGGGACCGUUCGAGCACACUUUUGACGUCGGGGUAGCACGAGGAGGCCGCGCGAGCGUGGGUUUUCACCGUUCUUGCUGUCGCAUCAGGACUUGGCGUUGUCGAGGUGGGUAAUUUAGCAUUUCCAUUUGUUUUUGGGCAAGUUCUUAUACUUCGAAUUCAAGUGAUGCUGUUUUGCUGAAAUUCAUCGUCGACUGUUAGUAUUUCAGCUCGUGCUCGACGCUGGAGCAUCGGAUUUCAACGAGACUUUGUUUGCUGGAUUCAGGAUUUUGAGAGGAAUCCACGAAGUCCUUAUUUGCGGGAUUUGGUAAAGGUUAGCUUGGUCGAAGCUCCAUUUUACUCUGCUGUUGUGAAUUUUGGACUGAAUUGAGGAUUUUCGAUGUUUAUAGUUGGAAAUAGCUUGAUUUCGGGACUUGGACUUUCUCAGUCGAUCUAGCAGGUUGUUCCGCAGCCGAGGGAGUUCCGUGUUGCCAGGGAUUAGCGACCGAGGUGGGUUACAUCGGUUUUGACUUCUAAGUUCUAAUCGUCGACAUGUAUAAAUUUCGAUUUUUGGUAUAAUCUAUUCUAGCUCGAAUUCAUGGAUUAUAUUAUAGAUUGCAAAUCUGAAUUAGGAGCAUGUGGUAUUAAAUUGAGUAAUUUAUACAUGUUGGACUUGGAAUUGGAAUUAGGAGAAAACCUACGAUUUGGACCUGUCACUUGUUUAAACUGCCUGAUUUAGCUCUAGGAGCCGUUAUAAAAUUGUACUGUCGCAGUAUCCUCGAGACGAGUACUCCAGAUAGUUUAGCAUACAUUUACACUCGUGCUGGUACGCCGAGUGGAUUUUUACAGGAUCGUUUGGGCUGUUCCGAACUAUUGGGUGCCGUCAGGUUGACGGUGGACCCGAAUCGCCUUUUUGGCGACAGAUUGUGCCAAGGGCACAUGAACGGUUGGUUGUUAGACCAGUUAGAGUCGGUUACUUGACUUAGGCUUUUCAGAGCCUGUUUGAGCUCGACAGAGAUAUGCUGCAUACUCGGUUGGGUAGCGCCCACGAGUGCCAAUCCGGAGACGGGCUUUGUGCUUUUGCGUUGGUGUCGCUCAUGCCGGUUGGACUUGCUCUCCACGGACCAGUUAGUGUGGAGGUAGCUGGAUAGUCGCAACUGGGCAGGGACGGGUGUAUUCACAGUCCCCGGGACGGGUAUGUUUACAGUCCCGAUUGGAUUGGGUCAGUUUUGACAUUUCCUACAGUUGGUUAGCUUAGAGCAGGAUGGUGUAG
rnacentral:lncRNA from 1 species